CUCCUGUUCGACGCUGACAGUUGCUGCGAUGUUACUGGUUGUCAGCAUUCUGUUGCUUGUGGGAACAGAAUCGUCAGAAGCGUCACAUUAUAAAGUGUUUGGCCCCCUCUCUGAACAAAAAGAUGAUUCUCCAUCUGCAGCGAAAUGUCGCCCAGGUGAUGUGGCUGUGGCCUGCACCGCGACGUCAUACUGUGACGGUGUCCUUUUUACUGGGUCGGACUCGUGCACGGCAUACACUCGUGCUGAUG